rnacentral:rRNA from 1 species
UACGUAGGGUGCGAGCGUUGUCCGGAAUUACUGGGCGUAAAGAGCUCGUAGGUGGUUUGUCGCGUUGUUCGUGAAAACUCACAGCUUAACUGUGGGCGUGCGGGCGAUACGGGCAGACUGGAGUACUGCAGGGGAGACUGGAAUUCCUGGUGUAGCGGUGGAAUGCGCAGAUAUCAGGAGGAACACCUGCGGCGAAGGCGGGUUGCUGGGCCGACACUGACGCUGAUGCGCGAAAGCCAGGGGAGCGAACGGG